rnacentral:misc_RNA from 1 species
GGUUGUACUCCAUGGCCCACAUCACCUCCCAGAGAUAGAGUGCAUCGACAAAUGAGAGCUCUCUCCUGAAAAGUACCAUCAACAUGCGUAAUGCGAACAGAUAUUCUCCGCCAUCUAGCUCCUCAAGGUGUCGAUGAAGCUUUGGAUCAACAAUUUUAACAAUCUGUGCAAGGGCUCUCAGCUGAGAUUGCACUCCUAUAGAAU